GAUGAACGCUGGCGGCGUGCUUAACACAUGCAAGUCGAACGAAGCAUUUGCGACAGAUUUUUUCGGAAUGAAGUUGCUUAUGACUGAGUGGCGGACGGGUGAGUAACGCGUGGGUAACCUGCCUUGUACUGGGGGAUAGCAGCUGGAAACGGCUGUUAAUACCGCAUAAGCGCACAAUGUUGCAUUACAUGGUUUGAAAAACUCCUGUGGUAUAAGAUGGACCCGCGUCUGAUUAGCUAGUUGGUGAGAUAACAGCCCACCAAGGCGACGAUCAGUAGCCGACCUGAGAGGGUGACCGGCCACAUUGGGACUGAGACACGGCCCAGACUCCUACGGGAGGCAGCAGUGGGGAAUAUUGCACAAUGGAGGAAACUCUGAUGCAGCGACGCCGCGUGAGUGAAGAAGUAAUUCGUUAUGUAAAGCUCUAUCAGCAGGGAAGAUAGUGACGGUACCUGACUAAGAAGCGCCGGCUAAAUACGUG
rnacentral:rRNA from 1 species